rnacentral:lncRNA from 1 species
UACAUGCAGCAUAUGGAAGUUUUCGGGCUAAGGGCUGAAUUGGAGCUGCAGCUGUGGUCUACACCACAGUCAUGGCAACUCUGAAUCCAAGCCUCAUAUGCUACCUGUGCUAUAGUUUGCGGCAAUGCCAAACCCUUAUCCACUGAAUGAGGCUGGGGAUCAAACCUGCAUCCUAAUGCUAAUGGACACUAUCUUGGGUUCUUAACCCACUGAGCCACAAUGGAAACUCUGAGAGCCUGGAAUUUAUAUACUACAUUGUCUGUUUGCUUGGGGUUUUUUGCUUUUUUAGGGCCAAACCUGUGGCAUAUGGAAAUUCUCUGGCUAGGGGUCAAAUCAGAACUGCAGCUGCUAAUCCUACACCACAGCCACAACAACACAGGAUCAGAGCCACAUCUGCAACAUACACAGCAAUGCCAGGUCCUUAACCCACUGAGCGAGACCAGGGAUCGAACCUGUCUCCUCAAGGAUAAUAGUUGGAUUCGUUUCUGCUCCGCCGCAAUUGGAACUCCCUGUUUGUUGUUUUUCAUCCCAGUCCACAUAAGAGUCCCACUAAAUCUCAGGAACUAGAGAUACGCCUGCCACAUCAUUUAAAAGAUCCUCCUGGUGGUACCAUUUAUCAACCCUGGAAUACCAUUUCCAUUGUUAAGGAACCAAGGUGCUGUAGCCAUGAUAUAAGUGCCUAACAUAUGCUGGUUCCUUUUGACAAAGCGACCACUUCCAUCAACCCAUUCCCCCCAUACCUCAAUAUAGAUGAAGAAUUCAAAUUCCCACAGAAAUGGAUAGAAAACUCCUUGACCACAGAGUCCCUCAGUGACCUUCAGCCCUUGGUCAAGCUCAGAGAUUAUAAGAUGCCAAGCACUUAGCAAGACUGCUUUUGCAACACUCGGACUCCAGAGACUCUGCAUUGCCAAGAGAAUAUAAUCCAAACUGCUCAGCACAGAGCACAGGAUACUCCAUGACCUGGCCUCUGCUUGCCUCUCCAACCUCAUUUCUCACCAAGCCCAAUGACCUCUAACACCAAUGACCUCUAACACACCCACUUACCAGCGUGUCCAAGCCACCAUGCUGUUUCAUGCUCCUGGGUCUUUGAACUACCUGUUCUUCAUGUCUGGACUGUCCUUUCUCCCCAUGACUCCUCUCACUCCAGUCCCCUUAUUCACUCAGUUUUUAAGAUACAGCUCAAGUCAGGAAGCCAUUCUGAGCCCCUUAUUACCCCAGACUCCAGUCUUUUCCUCUAUUAAUGAUAUUUGUCUCCAUUAUAACUCCUGGAACACUUUAGUGCUCUUGUUUGUUUUCAUGUCUGUCCUUCCACUUGGACUAUAAACUCCAUGAAGGCAGGCAUAGGGUUACAUAUCAUAUCAUAUUUCAUAUCCUAGUAUAGAUAGAUAGAUAGAUAGAUAGAUAGAUGAUUGAUAGAUAGAUGGUAGAUAUAAUUUUAUUCCUGGAUAUGACUCACAGUUGGCAUGUUCACAAAUGUCAGUUGACUGACUCACUGAAUGUAUGGAUCAAACUCUUUUACUUGACAUAAAAAUGCAAGAAACUUGAAAAAAAAAUGAAAUGAAAUAAAACACUCUGGCUGGCUAGAGAGUAUGUGAUGCAGUGAGUUCUGGGUUACCCUGAACAUGAGAAGUGGCCAAGUUUAAUUCCUGAAUCUAUAAUGAUCCCCUUAAAUUAAGCAUCCAUAAUGACCCCACACCUGCCGUGGUGUGCAGCCACCUGACAUGCUUUAUAUAGAAUCCCAAUCAGAUCUGUCAGGGAGCAAUGUUGGCCAGGUGCUCAAGCUAAGGCAGUAGUCAAUAUGCAGGGCACAUUCCUGUUUUUCAGUCUAGCUAAUGAAGCAGUCUCCGAUGGGGCUCAUGAAAAGGGAAGAGUAUACUCAAAUGAGGCAGGUGUGAGGGUCCCUGACCCUUACAGACAUGACUACCUCUAAGUCUGUAAGCUCUGGAGCAGUUGUUCUCAACACUGGCUGUACAAUGAAAUAAUGCAAUCCACUAGGAACUGUCAUAAACAUUGGAAGACACCAAUUCUAAAAGAAAGAAAUAAAUAAAGCAUAACAUGGGUGCUUAAAGGGGAAAAAAGACCACACCCAAUAUUAAUUACAUGAAGAUUCCUGAAGGUGAGGUGAUGUUUGGAGUUCCCCAUCGUGGCUCAGUGGUCAAUGAAUCUGUCCAAGAACCAUGAGGUUGCGGGUUCGAUCCCUGGCCUUGCUCAGUGGGUUAAGGAUCUGGCCUUGCCGUGAACUGUGCUGCAGUUGCAGAUGUGGCUCAGAUCCCGUGUUGCUGUGGCUCUGGCCUAGGCCAGCAGCAACAGCUCUGAUUAGACCACUAGCCUGGGAACCUCCACAUGCCACAGGUCUGGCCCUGGAAAAGGAAAAGAAAAAAAAUAAAAUAAAGACAAGGUGAGGUGAUGUUUAACAUAUCCCAGGUAAUUUUUUUUGGGGGGGGGAGGCUGCACCCACAGCAUAUGGAAGUUCCCAGACUAGGGGUUGAUGAGAUCACAUUUAACAACCCUUCUUAUCCAAAGUGUGAGGCAAGCCAUCAGACUCUAGCACAACAGUCUGGCCACAAAUUUUGCAUGGUGGGAUCGCAGACAGAAAUUAGACAGACACACAUGGCUCUACCCACAGUAGAGGUUUCUGAAUGUCUUUUACCUUACUGUUUGGUGCCAGGCAUGCAGUGGUGAAUGACUGUCCCUGCUGCUGCUGGCUGGUGCAGCCACACUGGCCUCAACCACAACUGUAAAGGAAAAUGGAGCUUGGCAUUGCAUUUGGCUGAGCUUCGCCAGAGACUCAUUACUGUGUUAAGUAUAAAGCAUCUGCCAUGAGAGAUUCCUGCUGAUAUGAAAAGCCAUUGAAUUCAGAGAAUUUCAUGUAACAAACAAAACAGUUACAGAUAACCAAGGUGGGAAAGUCCACUGAGUUCAUGGGGUCCUACAGGAAUCCAUGGGUCUAUGUGGAGGGGCUUACUAAAGGAAGAGCACCGACUACCAUUGCUGAAUAAACAUAUGCGACACCCUCAAGGAAGGGAGGGAUUUCUUUUAGGGUUAUGAGGUCCUUUAUUAUGUAGGGAAGGAUACAGAAAAGCUGGACCACUCACUGAUAGGAUCUUAUUUUAUCCUCAAAAGUUAGUAAGGUUUGGGAGUUCCCGUUGUGGCUCAGCGGUAACAAAUCCGACUAGGAUCCAUGAAGAUGCGUGUUCAAUCUCCGGCCUUAAGUGGGUUAAGGUUCUGGUGUUGUCAUGAGCUGUGGUAUAGGUCGCAGAUGCAGCUCAGAUCCCAUGCUGCUGUGGCUGUGGUGUAGGCCAGCAACUGUAGUUCCAAUUCGUCCCCUAGUCUGGGAACUUCCAUAUGCUGUGGAUGCAGCCCCCUCCCCCCCAAAAAAAAGACCAAAAAAAAGUUAGUAAGGUUUGGGGAAGCUUGGGUUUCACAUAUUGAGGUAGUAUCAGACCUGGAAUUCCUAAUGAGGGCUUCAGACUCCAAGUGUGGUAUCUAAUUCCUGAGCUUUAAGCCAACACCACCCAUGGAAGUUGUAGCCUGGCCUUUAUCCUCAAAUGAGUAAUUCAUUCAUUCAUUCUAAAGAACCAAUUAUAUGUUCUAAGCAAACAAUACAGCCCAGGUUGUAGCAGCCUGAAGCCCAGAGAAACAGUUCCAGAAAAUUUCCCCAGAAUACAUUUCUUAUUCAUCAUCAGAGAUGCAUCCUGAGGAGGAAGAAAAAUAAGGCUACAGAAGCACAUAGAUCUUGCAGUACAUCAGGUAAGAAUAUGAGUGUGUGUAGCUGUAGAUGUACACAUACACAUUAGAAACCCUUUGGCUAAUAUUAUCACAGGAGAGAUUUUUAAAUUAAUACUGUACUUUAAUAAUCUCAUUUGACAUUCCAAUUAAUUUUUUAGAAGAAAAUGAAUUUUUAAAGAAUGGGAUUUUUACUAACUUGGAAUUCCAGUCCUGUUUAAUUA